rnacentral:lncRNA from 1 species
AUAGAAUUUACUCCCCAGGUCUUUCUUACCCAGCAUCCCAUUUGCAUGCUCACAGUGAGUAGGAAUACUUCAUGCUUAGGUACAUAUGUAGGAUAAAGUUUUCGCAUGACCCUGCCUCUCUCUAUUCCCUUGAUCUUGGCUGCUGAAGCUGGUUUUGAGCCAGGUCUUCAAUCAUGUCCAGUGAUCUAAAUCCAAGAACACAGGGAUGCAUGAUCCUGGGAUAGGAUCCCCUUCAUAUAUCAUCUUGCAAAACAAAAGAUAAACAAAAACAAAAUAUAUUUUUCAAGAUAUCUGGCAAAAAAGGAGACAGAGAAGGAGGCAAUAAGGAUUUACAUAAGGCCUAUUAUUGAAGAUCCUGUGUUCAACUCUUUGGAAAAAUUAUUUCACUUGAUCAAAAACAUUCUUACCAGCUUUUGUUACAUAUAUUACAUCUCU